UACGUAGGGCGCAAGCGUUGUCCGGAAUUAUUGGGCGUAAAGAGCUCGUAGGCGGCCAGUUGCGUCUGCUGUGAAAUCCCGGGGCUCAACCCCGGGCGUGCAGUGGAUACGGGCUGGCUAGAGGCAGGCAGGGGAGAACGGAAUUCCCGGUGUAGCGGUGAAAUGCGCAGAUAUCAGGAGGAACACCGGUGGCGAAGGCGGGACUCUGGGCCGAUACUGACGCUGAGGAGCGAAAGCGUGGGGAGCGAACAGG
rnacentral:rRNA from 1 species